AUUGAACGCUGGCGGCAGGCCUAACACAUGCAAGUCGAACGAGUGGCGGACGGGUGUGUAAUGUCUGGGACACUGCCUGAUGGAGGGGUAUAACUACUGGAAACGUUAGCUAAUACCCCUUACCACCCUUUUUGCCUUGAUGGGGUUAUCUGGUCGGUGGGGUAAAGGCUCACCAAGGCGACGAUCCCUAGCUGGUCUGAGAGGAUGACCAGCCACACUGGAACUGAGACACGGUCCAGACUCCUACGGGAGGCAGCAGUGGGUAAUAUUGCACAAUGGGCGCAAGCCUGAUGCAGCCAUGCCGCGUGUGUGAAGAAGGCCUUCGGGUUGUAAAGUACUUUCGGCGGGGAGGCGUUACCCGAAGAAGAAGCACCGGCUAACUCCGUGCCAGCAGCCGCGGUAAUAC
rnacentral:rRNA from 1 species